rnacentral:piRNA from 1 species
UAUUGUGCUUUCAGGCCCACAUGCCUGC